AUAAAUGGGAUGGAUGUUCCUCUUGUCGGCGGUCUGUGCUUCCCUCACGCGGAGGCUGCGGAGGAGCCAGCAAAGUUCUGCUUAAAGUUUGCUCGCUGAUUCUGGAAUCUCACUCGUUCUUUACUUACGUCGUUCGUUAUUCGCGUUCAUCGGUCGUUUUCGGAAACCGCGCCCCUGGUUUGCUGCGGUCCUCGAUCUGCUUACCAGCCCAUCUGUGAAGAUGAAGCUCACCUGCAUCGUCCUUCUUCUUGGAGCUCUGGUCUCCCUGAGCUUCUCUCAGAAGAACGACAACAAUCUACCACCUGUAUGCUGCAUAAAAUACUAUGAAGGCAGAAUUCCAGCAUCAGCAGUGACAUCCUGUGAAGUAACAGAUACCAGAUGCCCCAUGAUGGCUGUAGUCAUAACCACAAGAAAAGGACUCAGGAUAUGCAUUAACCCAGAGAAGCGAGAAAAAAUUAUGAAGAAAUGUUUAUCACUGGAAGAUGAGAAGAUUGCUUAAAUGAAACACACACAUGUACAGUAAUAUAAAUGGUUCUAUAUGCUGUCAUUUGUUUGUCAUUUACUAAUUAGAAAAAAAUAGAUAAAAUAGAUAAUAAAAAGUAUUAUGGGAUAAAAAUAUAUAUGCAGAUAAAGUUAUUUUAUAUUUGUUUUUGUAAAGUGAAUAUUAAUGGUUAUAAAUCGGGAACCUUAAUCUCAUAUACAGAACUUAUCAUUCGGGGUGUUUUUCUGCAUACAAAUCUGUGAAUAUUACAUCACUGGAGACUUCCCUAAAGAUAUGAACCAGCAGGAAGAAGCUGAUCUUGGAUUUUAUACUGAUUUAUAAAUGUUUCAGUGGCCUGAUGAUGUCUGCCAUGAUAUUUACACAUUAAACCACCUGAUGUAAAUAAAGAUGCAGUGCAUAA